rnacentral:lncRNA from 1 species
GACAAUCCAAACAAACUGUAUCAAAAGCAAAAGGGCAACCUCAUAAAGUCGAAGGCCCAGUUCCACUUAGACCGGAUGGAGGGAGAGGCCUUACAACGCCCAUAUGUGCCCCCACAGCCCUGUUAGGGACAGGAGGAGAACCUGCCCUAACUUGAGCAAAGUCGAAGGCCCGGUUCCACUUAGAUCGGAUGGGGGGAGAGGCCUUACAACGCCCAUAUGUGCCCCCACAGCCCUGUUAGGG